GACGAACGCUGGCGGCGUGCCUAAUACAUGCAAGUCGAACGCAGUGGGGACGGGUGAGGAACACGUGGGUAACCUCCCAUCAGAGGGGAUAACACUGGGAAACAGGUGCUAAACCGAUAGUGAUGGAUGGACCCGGGGUGCAUUAGCGAGUUGGUGGGGUAACGGCUCACCAAGGCCACGAUGCAUAGCUGGCCUGAGAGGGUGAUCGGCCACACUGGAACUGAGACACGGGCCAGACUCCUACGGGAGGCAGCAGUGGGGAAUAUUCGACAAUGGACGAAAGUCUGACCGAGCAACGCCGCGUGAGUGAAGAAGGUUUUCGGAUUGUAAAACUCUGUUGUUAGAGAAGCGGUAUCUAACCAGAAAGCCACGGCUAACUACGUGCCAGCAGCCGCGGUAAUAC
rnacentral:rRNA from 1 species